rnacentral:rRNA from 1 species
GACGAACGCUGGCGGCGUGCUUAACACAUGCAAGUCGAACGGAAAGGCCCUGCUUUUGUGGGGUGCUCGAGUGGCGAACGGGUGAGUAACACGUGAGUAACCUGCCCUUGACUUUGGGAUAACUUCAGGAAACUGGGGCUAAUACCGGAUAGGAGCUCCUGCUGCAUGGUGGGGGUUGGAAAGUUUCGGCGGUUGGGGAUGGACUCGCGGCUUAUCAGCUUGUUGGUGGGGUAGUGGCUUACCAAGGCUUUGACGGGUAGCCGGCCUGAGAGGGUGACCGGCCACAUUGGGACUGAGAUACGGCCCAGACUCCUACGGGAGGCAGCAGUGGGGAAUAUUGCACAAUGGGCGGAAGCCUGAUGCAGCAACGCCGCGUGCGGGAUGACGGCCUUCGGGUUGUAAACCGCUUUCGCCUGUGACGAAGCGUGAGUGGCGGUAAUGGGUAAAGAGGCACCGGCUAACUACGUG